AAAUAGGUAAGCUAAAAAAGCUAUUGGGUUCAUACCCCACUUAUAGAGGUUUACCCUUUUCUAUUUA
rnacentral:tRNA from 2 species